rnacentral:sRNA from 1 species
GCCAGCAUGGUGGUGCAUACCUGUAAUCCCAGCUACUAGGGAGGCUGAGGCAGGAGGAUCUUAAGUUUGGGGCCAGCUUUGGCAACUUAGUGAGACCCUGUCUCAA